UACAGAGGGUGCGAGCGUUGCUCGGAAUGACUGGGCGUAAAGGGCGCGUAGGCGGACGGCUUUGUCGGGCGUGAAAUUCCAGGGCUUAACCUUGGGGCUGCGUUCGAGACGGGUUGUCUAGAGUUUGGAAGAGGGUCGUGGAAUUCCCAGUGUAGAGGUGAAAUUCGUAGAUAUUGGGAAGAACACCGGUGGCGAAGGCGGCGACCUGGUCAUUGACUGACGCUGAGGCGCGAAAGCGUGGGGAGCAAACAGG
rnacentral:rRNA from 1 species